AAGGCAUGGUGAGGGCACUUUCUAAGCAUCUCCUUGAAUCUCUCCCCAACUAUAAUAAAUAAAUUCUCCUUCUAAUUGAGUAAAAGAAGUAAUUUUAUUUAUAAGCUU